CUAUGAAAGAUGUAUAAUUUUCAGUAUAUUUUAUGUUGCUGUUUAUGUUGCGUUUUAUGUUCCUUAACAUUGAUUUAUUUACUUUAAUUUAGCCUUCAUAACUCUUAUUGGCGGUCCCUGAUAAAUACGUCGGCAAACGAUGAUCACGUCACCGAUUCUCUGUGUGGACCGUUGCUUUAACUAUUCACUCUAUCCAUCCAUUCAUCAUUACUUUCCUCUCUUCUGGAAGGAAUCUUUUAUAAUUCCUCUCCAUAUGAAAGGUAACAAGUCUGAAGCAAUAAGUUAUAGAGACACAUAUGUCUAAGUUAACCGAUGUCCCUAAAAUGUUUUAGAAAAUUUGUACUCUGUACUUGAUAUAUUUAUGAAAUCACUUAUAUCUCCAGCUGGAUUUCAAGCUAUGUUCUAGGUCUCAAAGAGUUCUUAUCUUUAUCUGUUAUGGUUACUGCUGGAGUACCAGAGGGUAGCCAUCUAGGCCCCUUGUCACACUUUUUAUUAAUGCCCUGACUUUUGUAUUAACAAAUUCUACAGUACAUAUGUAUGUAUGUAUGUAAAUGAUGUUAAGCUCUGUGUCCAGUAUAAGGACAUUUCACUUCACUCUAGCUCGCAAUCAGAACGCAAUAAACUAGAUUAAACUCAUUAAACUAGACCCCAAGUUAACGUUUUCUGAACACAUUUUUACCAUGGUAAUUAAAGCCAUGGGCGUGCUUGAUUGGUUAUCAAAGGAAUUUGACCUUAAAUAACGUAGACUCUCUAUAUAUCGAUUGUUCGUCCGAUUAAGAAUACGAAUCAUGUGUAUGGUGCCCUCAGUACAACAUAUGUACAUCAGGACCUUUGCCACAGUUCCAAGAAGAGAAUCAAAAGGGUCGCAUGUUUUUGUACCCGGUACUCGAAGAGUACACAGGGUAUAUUGUAUUUGUGGGGAAUAGCGGUUGUAUGUAACGCACAGAAGGAAGCGUUUCCGACCCCAUAAAGUAUAUAUAUUCUUGAUCAGCAUCAAUAGUCGAGUCUGUCCGUCUGUCCGUCCGUCCGUCUGUCCGUCUGUCCGUCUUGUUUGUCGGCUAGUUCUUAUAGACUAUUAGAGCUAGAGCCACCAAAUUUUGGCUCCGGACUGCAGUAUGCUCACACUGAAACCAGUGUAUUUCAAAAAUGAGCCACGCCCCCUUCCGCCCCCGCAAAAGGGGGAAAACCUCCCAAAUCUACAGUUUUGAAGAUAAAAGAAAACUAAAAACUCCAUUUCGUAGGAAAUGGCCAUAUCUAUCAG
rnacentral:lncRNA from 1 species